rnacentral:rRNA from 1 species
UUCACGGAGAGUUUGAUCCUGGCUCAGGACGAACGCUGGCGGCGCGCUUAACACAUGCAAGUCGAGCGAGAACCAGGCCUUCGGGCCUGGGGAAAGCGGCGAACGGGUGAGUAACACGUGGGUAACCCACCCUUGGUACCGGGAUAGCCCGAGGAAACUCGGAUUAAUACCGGAUGGCCCAACAGCUUCUCGGAGCGGUUGGAAAAGGUAGCUUCGGCCUCCGACCAAGGACGGGCCCGCGGCGGAUUAGCUUGUUGGUGAGGUAACGGCUCACCAAGGCUUCGAUCCGUAGCUGGUCUGAGAGGACGAUCAGCCACACUGGGACUGAGACACGGCCCAGACUCCUACGGGAGGCAGCAGUGGGGAAUCUUGCGCAAUGGGCGAAAGCCUGACGCAGCGACGCCGCGUG